AUUGCGUGUGAGGAUGCUGGAGGUGGAGGUUUAUAGCCUUUUCUCACUACACUUGAUAAAAUUAAACUUAUCAAUUUAAUGGCAGAUCCAGAGAGGUUCAAACAACAAUCACCAGUGACAACAGAUUCACCUGCUGUAAAAUGCAAAAGACAGCAUGACAGAUUUUUGAUCAUGAGAGAGGGAUGAGGAUAUCACCCCUGCACUGGGCUCGCUCUCCUGUCUCUGGGUCCACUUUACUGUCUAGAUCUGACAGAGAAAAGAAAAGUAUAUAUAUAAAAAAUGAUCCUUUACAAAAUAUGUAUCAUGCAUAUGGUGAUCACUUUACAUCACUGCCAGAGCCACUGUCUGCUUCUCUUACCCAUGAUCGUGUUGCUGGAGGACAGGCACCGUUGCUGGUUAAUAAGGCUAAUGUUGGAAGGUCCCAGAUUGUCUGAUAUUGUUGAUCCCGCAGUUUGGAAAGGAGGGUCCUGCCUGGGACGGGGGUUCACCAUUGGUAUUCACAUGUUCUCCAGUGGCCUACAGUGGGCACGAGCGUGCUCCUGCAGCCUGUUCAUUGUGGUUGACAAAACAAGUGCGUUACAUAAUUUAAGUUGUAACUUCCGACAGGCAGCUGGCACAAUGAAAAGAUAAUAUUAUUCGCAAUUCAACAAAAUACAAAAAUGCACCCAAGAUUAAAAACUAUAAUCGAGCCGAGGGUAAAAGCAGACUGUCUACGAUGUCUUGCAUGCCACCAUACUUUUCUCUUCAGAAGCACAUUUUUUAUUAUAUUUUUUCAACUGGUUAUUAUACAUGUCAUGGGUUUUAAUUGCUUGUAUGAAUUAAUUAAUAGUUGUUAAACCAAGUUCUGUCAUUGGUCUUCUUACCAUUGCACAUGUUUCUCUUCAGCUUUCUAAACGGGCAGUUCUCUAUGGGCUGAAAUAUGUGCCACCAGAAACUGAAUUUGAACCAUUUAUAUUUGAAUUUGAAUGGCUAAACUUGAAUAAUUGCAUUGAAAAACUGAAUUUAAAUCACAUCAUUUAAAAUUGUAUUGUUUAAUUAAAAUUGAAUUUAUUCAAAAACUGAAUCUGAAUUGUAUGAUUUGAAAUUGAAUUUAUUUGGAACUGAAGUCCAAUAAAAUUUGAUCCUCACUGAAAAUUAAACAGACAUCCGGGUAGUUGGAGGGUGAAGGAAGAGCAAUCGAGCGCAGAUAGAUAGAUAGCGUUCAUUGGCACACAGGACUCCUUUGGGCGGUAAUGCUCUUUUUAAGAAUGCGAACCGCCAAUAAGCUCAAAGAAGAAGAAGAAGAAGGACUCCUUUGGCCAAUCAGCACCAAUGUUUUGGAGCACACAGUAUGUUACCCGCCAUGAAACAAAGAAGUGCUUCGGCGACCACUAUUCGGCUGGGACAAAUACGACAGGGAAGGAGUCAGGAAAGAGGGAGAGAUGGCCGACCCAGUGUCCACACAGAAAUGACAAGGUUCUUCACUGUAUUUGGUUUCUUUGUCAGACUGACUCAUCCCUUACAUUCAUCAAUUUAAAUUCUCAAACUAUAGCUAGUGAAAUAUGUAUUUGCAUUGUGUAAUGUCAAAUUAAUAAAUUAACAUCACAGGUCUUUUCCUGCCCUUUUUGAAGCUAGGGGAAAGCGCCGGCGCGUUCAAGGGCCUUCCAACCACUUUACACCAGUCAAAGAGAUAGAAGUUACAUUUUAUCUCUUACCCAAAAUUGUUGAGCGCACUCCCAAAGGCAGUGAAGAAGUUUUCCAUCUGCAAGCUGGUUUGGGACGCAGGUCCACGCUGAUACCAGAGAACUACACCCGUGAUGAGCCUAUGGAGGAAGAUGGGUUUUUUGUGUCCUCAAAGACAGAGUUGCAGACCAAUCUGUGGCCAUAAUUUUCCUCCCGAUGACCUGGAGGAACAUGCAAGCGAGUGUGGAGAGAGAUGUGUCUUUUUAAGGUUGAGUCGGCCACGGAGUCUACAAUGACUGAACUGAUUGAGGACAUUUUGAGCUGUGGCUAUAAUGAACCUGUUAAUGUUGAAAAGAGGGAAGAUAUUCUUCGUGCUGUUGUUCUUCAUGCCAUACUUCGGCUGCUGCCCCUUCUCUCCCAGCUACGUGAAGGUCUGAAACUUUAUGGUUUUGUCGAUCUAAUGAAACAAAACCUAAACAUCUGCCAACCACUCUUUGUCCCCGGGAUGGAGGUAAAGGUGAGUUAAUAAAUGUGGACUUUAGUAGGGAUGUACUGAUGCCACUUUUACUAACAAUAGUGAUUCCAAUUCCUAAACUCAGCUUAUUUCAUGUACCAAUCAUGCCAUUUACUUCAACUUUUUUUGUAUAGAUUUUGUGGGGUCACUGGACAAUAAUAAUGAAGAUAUUAAAGUUAAAGGUCCACGAUGCAGAAUUGUCCUAAAAAAACGAUGUAUAGUAUGACCCCCAACUGGUGUGAGGUGGUUUAUUUAUCUACAGAGAAUACUGCCUUCUGCCGGUAUUUUCUGGUUUUCUUAUUAUGUUGCUGUGUUUGGGACAUUUCUGUGUCAACCUUUGGGCAGUGGGUGUGUAGCCCACAGCCAGCAUGUGUGAGGUUGGGACUCAUAGCAUAGCAACCAGGUAACGUAAUUGUUUUUGUGCAGCUAACUCGCCCACUACUGCUCUCUCUUUCUGGAUAAACUCAUAACUGUCUUUGUGGCUUGCCAACCUGAGUUCAGCGAGAAGGGCUCCAACAAAGGACAGGUGGAAGUGAGUGUUAUGAACCAUCUCCAGGACUUCUUGCAGCUGGAAGCAUGUGUACAUCCAGAGGUGGGUGGAGACACAGUAGACUAUCUCACAGGACAGGGCCACAUUCCUGUCUUACCAGAAGAGAAGAGAAACUUCAGAGUCUUUGUGCAGUUCAAUCACACCUGUGACAUCCAGUAUGGUUCACAUAGAGUUUGCAUGUAGUAAUACAAUCCACCUACCUGUUAAGCAUAUGCAAACUUUUACUGAGUUCAAACAAGUGAUGAUCAGGCAUUCCAUCAGGUUUAAGUGAGAUGUUGCAGUUUCAAAUAUUCAGUGCUAAUUAGAUCACUGAAUGUUUUUCUUUCAUUGUUCAAGUACAAUGCAUAUACAUUCAGACAAAUAAUAAUAGAUAAGAUAUUUGUGCAAGUCCAGUUUGUAUCCCAAGUUAUACUUCAAUGUAUCAAGUAAGACACUCCCUGUGGCUGUGUCAGUUUGACAGAAGUCCAAUAAAUACAAAAUCUUUGGAAGCAAAAUACAACAUUGUGGCAUUACUUUGAAACUAGUCCACCUUCCACUCACAGUGAAGUGAUUGAAACCAAUGUCCUCUGUCUUCAAUGGACAUUCCAUUUCUGGCACUGUAACACCUGUGUUGGCAGAGUUAUGAGAGAGCCCUGAGCUCUCCCAAUUAAUAUCCUCAAUCUGGAUUCCCUAAAACCAACAUAAAAUAGUGUUAUCAGUAUAUAGAUUGAAAAAUAAUUUAAAGGCAGACAAUGUCAUUGGCAUUAUCACUCAACUGCCACAUCUUCCUCUGGCUCGCGGAUGGGGUGCUGCAGCAUCCCGAGCUCCCACAGCUGGUUUGGGGUAAGGAAACCCUCUGUCCUGAUAGGAUGAGCGUUCCAUCCAGCAGAAAACUUGGCCAUAUCAGCUUUGAGUCUUGGGAGGAAGGUGUACUGAGCACAGAAGAGAUGGAGAUUAUCCAAGAUGUCAAGGGAUCCAUCUUCCUCCUGGCUGUGUAAUACGUCAUAGUAAACGUGAGUAACUCCUGUCCAAACAUCCCUCCACAGACGUUCGAUUCUACAA